GCGGCUAUGGUGUAGCAGCAACACAACUCUCUGUGGCAGAGUCAUCACGAGUGCAAUUCUCGUUAGCCGCCCA
rnacentral:tRNA from 3 species